rnacentral:tRNA from 1 species
CUGUGGAAUUGGUAAGACGAUCGGUUCAUGUCUUCGGAUGUGCCCCGAUAUGAACCUUCCCGUGCUUUUUAGAACAAGAUCGGAUCAGUCAGAUCACGAUCGCAACGUAAUACGCCGCGUAGACUUCGGUCACGACGGUAUGGCGAGCUGCGCCGUCCACGUUUCUCUUUCUUCAAGAAGACAAAGAACCGCGUCGAUCCGGAUAGUUUUUACUGUCUGGACCGGUUUGACGAGAAUGGGCCCGUAGCUCAGUUGGUUAGAGCACACGCUUGAUAAGCGUGGGGUCGGAAGUUCAAGUCUUCCCGGGCCCACCAGCCUUCGCCCUUAUGGGCUAUGGCUUGGCGAGCCGGGAAAAGACGGUGACGCGGAAGUUGCCGAACCCUGGUUUAAGAUCGGGGCGAUCGAGCUGAUGGGGCUGUAGCUCAGCUGGGAGAGCACCUGCUUUGCAAGCAGGGGGUCAGCGGUUCGAUCCCGCUCAGCUCCACCAAAUCGAUUGGUGUCGAGACUGACGGCAUGUUGUCUUUUGAAGAAGUAAAGGUUUUGCAUCGGCUUUAGAGCCUGAUGCCUGUUCUGCAUACAUUGUGAAGAGAAGAUUGAUCUGGAGGCUUCCAGGUGUUUGGUUUGGCCCGAAACGUCCGAGCCCAGUUCUGAUGAUCCCCUUGGAUGGCCUAGCCGGCCGGAUAUGGGUGAAGGACUGGAGGUAGGAAGGAAGCUUGUCGCUCUGGGUCGUUGUUGUUUGCGGUCCUUCUGGGCUGCAUCUGACGGACGACUUGAUUGACGUUGCCUGACCGCGCGUCACCGGAUUUAAUCUCGAGAAGCUGGUCUUAAGAUAGACUGCAAGCGGGCUGCUCGGCGUAGCUCCAAUAAAGCAGAUCUAUCGAACACGUCGAUGGCAUUGUUAGAAAGCGUGAUUGUAAAAGGUAAUCACGCAUUGUUGGUCUGGUAGCUGAGAGGCUUCCGGACUUUGACUGGUUCGACAUACUGAGAAGUAUCUGGCUGGUCAGAUUUGGAACCCCUUCGAGCGCAAGCGAGGAGGAUAGGAAUUCCAAAUCCAACAAAGACGAUGAGCAUUGGCAAUGAGAACGAUCAAGUGUCGUAAGGGUAUUUAGUGGAUGCCUAGGCAUGCACAGGCGAUGAAGGACGUGAUACGCUGCGAAAAA